AUUCAUCAUUUUGACGGCUACAGCUUCAAAGUCGUCGAUGGGGAGAUGACUACGCUCAGCAUGGCGCCAUAAUUGUUGCCCAUCACGUUCACGUAAUGGAGAGGCGGACAGGGAUCGAACGACACUUUCGACUUGGAUGCCGACCAGUUCCAAUCACUCGUUUCCUUGCGUCGAGGAGGAUAUCUUCCUUGAGAUACGCUACCCAACGGUGACG
rnacentral:lncRNA from 1 species